rnacentral:snoRNA from 17 species
AUCCCAUGAUGAGGACAGGCGGGCACGUACUCCUGCAGACGCUCCCAUGCUUCUAGAAUAGACUCAUCUCUUGUCUGUUGGAAACUAGAAAUCCUUCGACUAAGGGC